GGGUAAGGGCUUGAGAUUACCUCGAGGGGAAGGUGUUAGGCACCCCUCAAGAUCCACUAGUGUGGUUCCCGGUCGUGCUUAGUUGUGACUUUAAGAAAAGUAGGAAUAAACAAGCAAAGUUGGCACACAGGAAGUAUAAACAAGUUGGAAAUUUUGAAGAAGAAAGACACAGGUGAUUUUGAAAAGAGAAAGCUUAGUUGAAGAAAACAUUAAUUUAAGAAAAAACAUCAAUAAAUAAAGAAGGAGAAAAGGGGUCCUAGGUUUAAAUAUAAUAUGGAUCACUUUGGUGCAAUACCCAACAAUCAUUCUCACACGAGAUAUUAGUACACCAGUAAUCAUAUCCAUAUUCUACCCUUCCCAUCCAGUUAAG
rnacentral:lncRNA from 1 species